rnacentral:rRNA from 1 species
CCUACGGGUGUCUGCAGUGAGGCAUAUUGGUCAAUGGACGAUAGUCUGAACCAGCCAAGUAGCGUGAAGGAUGACUGCCCUAUGGGUUGUAAACUUCUUUUAUAAAUGAAUAAAACGAGGCACGUGUGCCUUUUUGCAUGUACUUUAUGAAUAAGGAUCGGCUAACUCCGUUUCAGCAGCCGCGGUAAGACGUAGGAUCCGAGCGUUAUCCGGAUUUAUUGGGUUUAAAGGGAGCGUAUAUGGUUUGUGAAGUCAGUUGUGAAAGUUUGCGGCUCAACCUUAAAAUUGCAAUUGAUACUGGCAGUCUUGAGUACAGUUGAGGUAGGCGGAAUGCGUGGUGUAGCGGUGAAAUGCUUAGAUAUCACGAAGAACCCCGAUUGCGAAGGCAGCUUACUAAACUGUGACUGACAUUGAUGCUCGAAAGUGUGGGUAUCAAACAGGAUUAGAGACCCGUGUAGUC